UACGUAGGUGACCAGCGUUGUCCGGAUUUACUGGACGUAAAGAGCGCGCAGGCGGUCGUUCAAGUCGAGUGUGAAAGCCCCCGGCUCAACUGGGGAGGGUCACUCGAUACUGAUCGACUUGAAGGCAGGAGAGGGAAGCGGAAUUCCCGGUGUAGUGGUGAAAUGCGUAGAUAUCGGGAGGAACACCAGUGGCGAAGGCGGCUUCCUGGCCUGUUCUUGACGCUGAGGCGCGAAAGCUAGGGGAGCAAACGGG
rnacentral:rRNA from 1 species